rnacentral:pre_miRNA from 1 species
GUAUUACUCCCUCCGUCUUAAAAUUCUUGUUUUAGAUUUGUUUAGAUAUUUUGUAUCUAGUCAAGUUUUAGUAUUUAGAUACAUCCAUUUCUAAACAAAGUUAAGACAAAAAAUUUGGAACAGAGGGAGUACAAA